GGGGAUUUAGCUUAGCAGCAUAAGCACCUGCCUGGCAAGCACGAGGUGGUGAAUUCAAUCUCCC
rnacentral:tRNA from 1 species